rnacentral:rRNA from 1 species
UACAGGGGGUGCAAACGUUGCUCGGAAUCAUUGGGCGUAAAGCGCACGUAGGCGGUCUGUUAUGUCGGAUGUGAAAGCCCUUGGCUUAACUGAGGAAGUGCAUCCGAAACUGGCAGGCUAGAGUACUAAAGAGGGUCGCGGAAUUCCCGGUGUAGAGGUGAAAUGCGUAGAGAUCAGGAAGAACACCAGUGGCGAAGGCGCUCUGCUAGGCCGUAACUGACACUGAGGGACGAAAGCUAGGGGAGCGAAUGGG